GAUGAACGCUGGCGGCGUGCCUAAUACAUGCAAGUCGAGCGAACGGACGAGAAGCUUGCUUCACUGAUGUUAGCGGCGGACGGGUGAGUAACACGUGGAUAACCUACCUAUAAGACUGGGAUAACUUCGGGAAACCGGAGCUAAUACCGGAUAAUAUUUUGAACCGCAUGGUUCAAAAGUGAAAGACGGUCUUGCUGUCACUUAUAGAUGGAUCCGCGCUGCAUUAGCUAGUUGGUAAGGUAACGGCUUACCAAGGCAACGAUGCAUAGCCGACCUGAGAGGGUGAUCGGCCACACUGGAACUGAGACACGGUCCAGACGCCUACGGGAGGCAGCAGUAGGGAAUCUUCCGCAAUGGGCGAAAGCCUGACGGAGCAACGCCGCGUGAGUGAUGAAGGUCUUCGGAUCGUAAAACUCUGUUAUUAGGGAAGAACAUAUGUGUAAGUAACUGUGCACAUCUUGACGGUACCUAAUCAGAAAGCCACGGCUAACUACGUG
rnacentral:rRNA from 1 species